rnacentral:ncRNA from 1 species
AGUUUUAUUCUUGCUUAAUAAUUUAUUAUUCAAAAAUAUUACAUGUAAAUUCUUAUGAGAGUUAAUAAAAUCUAAAAGAUAAUUAGUUAUUAUUCGCAGUAUUUAAUAUUGAUCAUCAAGGAAAUUUGGAAUCAGUUAUUUGAGAGAUGAUUGGUAAAAAUCGUGCCAGCUACCGCGGUUAUACGAAGAAUAGAAAUAAAUUGUAUUGGUUUAAAGUUAAUUUAGGUGGAUGAAUAAAUGAUUAAUUUUUAAAAGGUAAAAUUUGUUAAGUUGAUUAUUUUUUUAAGUUGUGGAAUGAAGCUUUAAAAUUUUAUAUAUAGACUAGGAUUAGAUACCCUAUUAUUAUAAGAUGUAAAAUAAGAACUUGAGUAGUAAUAGUUAAGAUCUUGAAACUCAAAGAAUUUGGCGGUAUUUUAGUCUUUUCAGAGGAAUCUGUUCUGUAAAUGAUAUUACACGAUAAAAUUUACUUAAUUUUGUAAGAUCAACUUGUAUACCGUCGUCAUAAGUCUAUCUUUAGAAAGGAGAAAUUUUCUGGAUAUUAAUUGAUAGAAUGUCAGAUCAAGGUGCAGUUUAUAGUUAAGAGGAAAUGGAUUACAAUAAAUUUAUUUAUAUGAAUUUGUACACUGAAAGUGUUAAUGAAGGUGGAUUUGAAAGUAAUAUUAUUUUAUUUAAUAAUAUGAUGUAAGCUCUAGAAUAUGUACACAUCGCCCGUCGCUCUCAUUAUUAAGGUGAGAUAAGUCGUAACAUAGUAGGUGUACUGGAAAGUGUACCUAGAUAGC